CGAAAAUUAGAAAUACAGCUCCCAAACGUUUGUGCUAAAGGCUAUAAGGAGACAGCAUGUAACAUAUCGCUCCCGGUGAUUGUCCUGGUGCUAGUCUGCUGACCGUGAACGACCCGAAAACCCAUCUCAUUCGCGACAUCUGUCUGGAGAAAGGACAUGGAAGGUUUUCCCGUGACGGAUUGACAAGUUAGAUUCGCGCAACAUCAUCAGUCGAGAGGAAGAAACACUCGAACUGCAAAAGGAUCCACAAUACUACGAGAUGGAAGAUGAGUACACCUGGAUUCACAUCUGCAGCAAGUUCCAAACCCCAAAGUUUCAUGUGAAACCAUUUCAUAAUGUGGAUUAAUAUCGUUCGAGAAACCGUCAAGCACAUCGGCUCUAAAUUCUAAAUUCGGCUAAGUAUUCAAAUACAAAACAUGUAACAAUGUGUGCUGGCUUACAAUAAAAAUAAAA